rnacentral:rRNA from 1 species
GGUGCUAACGUCCGGUGUCAAGAGGGAAACAACCCAGACCGCCAGCUAAGGUCCCAAAUGACGUGCUAAGUGGAAAACGAAGUGGGAAGGCCCAGACAGCCAGGAUGUUGGCUUAGAAGCAGCCAUCAUUUAAAGAAAGCGUAAUAGCUCACUGGUCGAGUCGUCCUGCGCGGAAGAUGUAACGGGGCUAAGCACGUAACCGAAGCUGCGGAUUCACAGUUUACUGUGAGUGGUAGGAGAGCGUUCUGUAAGCCUGUGAAGGUGUCUUGAGAAGGAUGCUGGAGGUAUCAGAAGUGCGAAUGCUGACAUGAGUAGCGAUAAACAAGGUGAAAGUCCUUGUCGCCGAAAACCCAAGGUUUCCUACGCAACGUUCAUCGGCGUAGGGUGAGUCGGCCCCUAAGGCGAGGCAGAAAUGCGUAGUCGAUGGGAAACAGGUUAAUAUUCCUGUACCGAUUUGGAAUGCGAUGGGGGGACGGAGAAGGGUAGGUCAGCCAACUGUUGGAAUAGUUGGUUUAAGCGUGUAGGCGUGCUCUAUAGGCAAAUCCGUAGAGCUGAGCUGAGGCGUGAUGACGAGGUGCCACGUGCACUGAAGUGAUUGAUCCCAUGCUUCCAGGAAAAGCCUCUAAGCUUCAGUUCCAAAUUGACCGUACUGCAAACCGACACAGGUGGGUAGGGUGAGAAUCCUAAGGCGCUUGAGAGAACUCAGGAGAAGGAACUCGGCAAAUUGACACCGUAACUUCGGGAGAAGGUGUGCCCUUGUAGGGUGAAAUCCCUUGCGGAUGGAGCUCGAAAGGGUUGCAGUGAAAAGGUGGCUGCGACUGUUUAUUAAAAACACAGCACUCUGCAAACACGAAAGUGGACGUAUAGGGUGUGACGCCUGCCCGGUGCUGGAAGAUUAAAUGAUGGGGUGCAAGCUCUUGACUGAAGUCCCAGUAAACGGCGGCCGUAACUAUAACGGUCCUAAGGUAGCGAAAUUCCUUGUCGGGUAAGUUCCGACCCGCACGAAUGGCGUAACGAUGGCCACACUGUCUCCUCCUGAGACUCAGCGAAGUUGAAAUGUUUGUGAAGAUGCAAUCUCCCCGCUGCUAGACGGAAAGACCCCGUGAACCUUUACUGUAGCUUUGCAUUGGACUUUGAACAGACUUGUGUAGGAUAGGUGGGAGGCUUUGAAGUGGGAACGCCAGUUCUCAUGGAGCCGUCCUUGAAAUACCACCCUGGUGUGUUUGAGGUUCUAACCUAGGUCCGUAAUCCGGAUCGGGGACCGUGCAUGGUAGGCAGUUUGACUGGGGCGGUCUCCUCCCAAAGUGUAACGGAGGAGUUCGAAGGUCUCCUAGGUACGGUCGGACAUCGUACUGAUAGUGCAAUGGCAAAAGGAGGCUUAACUGCGAGACCGACAAGUCGAGCAGGUGCGAAAGCAGGACAUAGUGAUCCGGUGGUUCUGUAUGGAAGGGCCAUCGCUCAACGGAUAAAAGGUACUCCGGGGAUAACAGGCUGAUACCGCCCAAGAGUUCAUAUCGACGGCGGUGUUUGGCACCUCGAUGUCGGCUCAUCACAUCCUGGGGCUGUAGCCGGUCCCAAGG